rnacentral:siRNA from 1 species
UAAUGGGAGUUACAAUUUUA